UGAAAAUUGCCUAUUCAUGUCCCUUGCCCAUUUAUCAAUUGGAGAAUGGCUUGACUUUUUGAACAAUUGGUUUAGCUCUUUAUAAAUUUGAAUAAUUAGACCUUUGUCAGAUAUUUUUGUUAGGAAGAUUGCUUCCCAGUUGGUUGCUUCCCUUCUAAUUUUGGUUGCAUUGGUUUUGUUUGUAUAAAACCUUUUUAAUUUGAUGUAGUCAAAAUUAUUUAUUUUACAUUUUGUGACUCUUUCUAAGUCUUGCUUGUUUUUAAAAUCUUUCCCUUCCCAAAGGUCUGACAUGUAUUCUAUUCUGUGUUUUCCUAAUUUGCUUAUAGUUUCCUUCUUUAUAUUCAAGUCAUUCACCCAUUCUGAGUUCAUCUUGGUAUAGGGUGUGAGAUGUUGAUCCAAACCUAAUCUCUCCCAUACUGUCUUCCAAUUUUCCCAGCAGUUUUCAUCAAAUAGUGGAUUUUGGUCCCAAAAGCUGGGGUAUUUGGGCUUAUUAUAGACUGUCUUGCUGAAGUAACUUACCAAGUCUAUUCCAUUGAUCUUCCUUUCUGUCUCUUAGCCAGUAACAUAUUGUUUUAAUGACUACCGCUUUAUAGUAUAGUUUGAGAUCUGGGACUGCAAGUCCUCCUUCCUUUGCAUUUUUCACAAAGUCUUAAAUGAUUAAACAACAACAAAAAAUGUGGGGAUGGAAGCAAAAUUGCAAGGUUUUGAGGAGAUGGUGACCCUUGAGUCUACCCUAUUCUUUGUAUGGAAUUACAGAACUUCAGAACUGGAAACAAUUUUAGAGAUUAAUGUAAUCCUUUAUACAGAUAUGAAAACUGAAGCCUAAAGAAACAAAAUGAACUGCCCAGGGCAUGUAGCUAUUGUGUAAGACUGAUAUUCAAACCAAGCCCCAACAUUCUUCCCCCUAGACCAUUCUUUCUCAUGAGCCAGAAAUUUGGCAGUGAAAGGGUAAAGAUAUAAGGUGAUCUUUUGAAGGUUGGGAAGUUUUUUGCUUUUUUUACAAGAGCCUGAGCAUGUUUAUAAGAUGAAGGGAAAGGACUAAUAGAAAAGGAGAGAUUCUGAAGAUGUCUGAGAGAAUGGUAGAUCAAUCAAACAAGAAAGAGAAGAAAUGUAAGGGAAUCAUUGAAGAAGCUGAAAAGGUUAGAAAAAAGAGAAAGGUGCGAUGAAGAUUCACACUAGACCAUUACAGACUUUUUAGUAAAUUAGGCAAGAAAGUCAUUUGCUGAGAAUGAAAAGCCAUUGGAAAAGCCAUUGUCAGGGAUAUAUUGGUAUAUAAUUUAGCGAGUAUUCCUCCACUAGUUUUAGCACAUAGCCACAGUGCCUGACACAUAGUAGGCACUUAAUCAAUAUCUGUUGACUUGGUAUAGAUGCUAAUAGCAGAUAGUCUUUUAAGAGCUUCUGUGGGUAAAAAACUCAUUCAUACUUAAAAUUGGUUUGUCCUCAGAUGACUUGCUAAAGCUUGCAAUCUUCUGGCAGAGUCUUUGGAACUCAGAGUUCUCUUUACUAUUAUGAGGCUUUGGAGAGAUAGGACUUGAUUCAGAGCUUCUCUUAAUGAUUUUAAUAUCAUAUCCAUUGCUUUUGCUACCAUGUCACACAUGUGACUUGAUACUAAGCUUUCAGUUUCCCCAAACUUCAUAACUUUAUCAUACCAGCUAUUGUCUAGCUAUGGUGAAUGAGAUUUUUAAAAAAUACGUGCAUGUGACUUUGCAUUUACUCUUAUUGAAUUUCACUUUCAAUAUAUUCAACCCAUUGUCCUAGCCUAUUGCAAUUUUUAAUGUUUGGAUCCUGGCCUUGUUAUCACACAGAUAAAGGUCAGAGUUACUCUUAGCAGAUCUAGGAAAGUUUUAUUAGGUUCUAUUGCUUUUAAAUGGGCAGUGAGGUGUUACAGUGAACUGAAUGCUUGGCCCUGAGUCAGGAAGAUUCCUUUUUCUGAGUUCAAAUCCAACCCCAGAUACUUACUAACUAUGGGGUACUAGGUAAGUCGCUUAAUCCUGUUUGCCUCAAUUUCCUCACCUAUGAGUUGGAGAAGGAAAUGUCCACCUAUUCCAUUAUCUUUGCCAAGAAUACUCCAAAUGGAAUCACAAAGAGUUGGGCACAAUUGAACAAUAAUAGCAACAAACAUUGCUUUUAAGCUGGAUAUUUACUUGAGGAAGGAAUCUAUAGUUAAUGUUUGAUUGAAUCCUCUGAUAUAUAAAAGUUAAUAAGGAAUUCAUAGAGAUCCCCCUAAUAAAAAACACUGUGCUUCUCUAUGGCCA
rnacentral:lncRNA from 1 species